rnacentral:tRNA from 1 species
GGAGAGAUGUGAGAGUGGUUUAAUCAGCACGCUUGGAAAGUGUGUGUACUGUUAAAGGUACCCAGGGUUCGAAUCCCUGUCUCUCCACCA